rnacentral:rRNA from 1 species
GAUGAACGCUGGCGGCGUGCCUAAUACAUGCAAGUCGAGCGAACAGACGAGGAGCUUGCUCCUCUGACGUUAGCGGCGGACGGGUGAGUAACACGUGGAUAACCUACCUAUAAGACUGGGAUAACUUCGGGAAACCGGAGCUAAUACCGGAUAAUAUAUUGAACCGCAUGGUUCAAUAGUGAAAGACGGUUUUGCUGUCACUUAUAGAUGGAUCCGCGCCGCAUUAGCUAGUUGGUAAGGUAACGGCUUACCAAGGCAACGAUGCGUAGCCGACGUGAGAGGGUGAUCGGCCACACUAGAACUGAGACACGGUCCAGACUCCUACGGGAGGCAGCAGUAGGGAAUCUUCCGCAAUGGGCGAAAGCCUGACGGAGCAACGCCGCGUGAGUGAUGAAGGUCUUCGGAUCGUAAAACUCUGUUAUUAGGGAAGAACAAAUGUGUAAGUAACUAUGCACGUCUUGACGGUACCUAAUCAGAAAGCCACGGCUAACUACGUG